GACGAACGCUGGCGGCGUGCUUAACACAUGCAAGUCGAGCGGUAAGGCCCCUUCGGGGGUACACGAGCGGCGAACGGGUGAGUAACACGUGAGCAAUCUGCCCUUCACAUCGGGAUAACCCCCGGAAACGGGUGCUAAUACCGGAUACGACCACUUCAGGCAUCUGAUGGUGGUGGAAAGUUCCGGCGGUGGAGGAUGAGCUCGCGGCCUAUCAGGUUGUUGGUGGGGUAACGGCCCACCCAGGCUUCGACGGGUAGCCGGCCUGAGAGGGUGACCGGCCACACUGGGACUGAGACACGGCCCAGACUCCUACGGGAGGCAGCAGUGGGGAAUAUUGGACAAUGGGCGAAAGCCUGAUCCAGCAACGCCGCGUGAGGGAUGAUGGCCUUCGGGUUGUAAACCUCUUUCAGCAGGGACGAAGCGCAAGUGACGGUACCUGCAGAAGAAGCACCGGCCAACUACGUGCCAGCCGCCGCGGUAAAAC
rnacentral:rRNA from 1 species